rnacentral:rRNA from 1 species
UACAGAGGGUGCAAGCGUUAAUCGGAAUUACUGGGCGUAAAGGGCGCGUAGGUGGUUAAUUAAGUCAGAUGUGAAAUCCCUGGGCUUAACCUAGGAAUUGCAUAUGAAACUGAUUGGCUAGAGUACGGGAGAGGGAAGUGGAAUUUCCGGUGUAGCGGUGAAAUGCGUAGAUAUCGGAAGGAACACCAGUGGCGAAGGCGACUUCCUGGCCCGUUACUGACACUGAGGCGCGAAAGCGUGGGGAGCGAACAGG